rnacentral:lncRNA from 1 species
UGGCUGAGAGUAGAACAGGUCCAGACAGGCGCAGAGACGCCCUGCUAGGACACUCUCAGGAACACGAGACCUUUGGUUUGCUUGGUGGCCCCGCAGACUAAGGAAACCAAAGGCUAAGCAGGAGUGCAAGGCUGGAAACAUUCUCCCCACACCUCCUCAGAAGCCUAGCCCAACUGCUGCUAGGCUCGACGACCCCAAGGCACACUCUGCUGACCUCUAUUGACUAAUGGCGCCGGUUUCCAGGCCUCCUGCCGGAACCAGUGUGUUUCCCUGAUUCCAAAUGAUAGGAAAUGUAUAGCAUCCUGGAAAAUCUGAGCCUUAUCUGCACUUUUGAUUGCAACAGACAUUUAUUGAGGACCUUUUGUGUGUCACUCUUGGAGA